CCUACGGGAGGCUGCAGUCGAGAAUUAUUCACAAUGGGGGAAACCCUGAUGGUGCGACGCCGCGUGGGGGAAUGAAGGUCUUCGGAUUGUAAACCCCUGUCAUGUGGGAGCAAAUUAAAAAGAUAGUACCACAAGAGGAAGAGACGGCUAACUCUGUGCCAGCAGCCGCGGUAAUACAGAGGUCUCAAGCGUUGUUCGGAAUCACUGGGCGUAAAGCGUGCGUAGGCUGUUUCGUAAGUCGUGUGUGAAAGGCGCGGGCUCAACCCGCGGACGGCACAUGAUACUGCGAGACUAGAGUAAGGGAGGGGGAACCGGAAUUCUCGGUGUAGCAGUGAAAUGCGUAGAUAUCGAGAGGAACACUCGUGGCGAAGGCGGGUUCCUGGACAUUAACUGACGCUGAGGCACGAAGGCCAGGGGAGCGAAAGGGAUUAGAUACCCUAGUAGUC
rnacentral:rRNA from 1 species